AAACCAUGAUGUGGGCACUCUCUGAGGUAGACGUUGAAUCGAUCCCAUGCAUCGCAGAAUGGCUCAUCAACUACCUGUUUGAAGGUUGCGAUUUUCUGUCUCAGAGC